rnacentral:rRNA from 1 species
GACAGAGGGCGCAAGCGUUGUUCGGAAUUACUGGGCGUAAAGCGCGUGUAGGCUGCUCUGCACGUCGGAUGUGAAAGCCCUGGGCUCAACCUAGGAAGUGCAUUCGAAACUGCGGAGCUUGAGUCUCGGAGAGGAUCGCGGAAUUCCCGGUGUAGAGGUGAAAUUCGUAGAUAUCGGGAGGAACACCAGUGGCGAAGGCGGCGACCUGGGCCAAUACUGACGCUGAGGUGCGAAAGCGUGGGGAGCAAACAGG